AAAGUCGUAACAAGGUUUCCGUAGGUGAACCUGCGGAAGGAUCAUUAUUGAUUUGAAAACUGGAUGUGCUGGCCUUCAUCAGCAAAUGUUGUUGAAUGCAUGUGUCACUCCAAACUUCAUCUUCAUAUAUCCCUAAUGUGCACUUUGUUGCUUUUGUAAGAUGUGUUUACGUCUGCCUGGGUUUUGCUGCACUAGCUUACGCUAUGCUUGCUUAAUCCUAUAGCUGCAAACUUACUCAUCUUCCUUGAGCUUUUUCAUUGAACACCUAUCCUUAAAAUGUAAAUUUAAAGGACAUUUGUCCGAUAAUUAUACUAAAACAACUUUCAACAAUGGAUCUCUUGGCUCUC
rnacentral:misc_RNA from 1 species